CAACCUACCCACCUCCUUCUGCCGGAGCCAGCCGUCGCGGGCGAGCGAGCGACGGCGGCAGCCGGAGCGAGGGAGCCCGCGGCACCGUGUCUGGCCGCCGACGGAUCCACCUCCUUCCAAUCUCUGAUUCCCCGCACCCGUCGCCGCACUUCUCCUCAUUUUCUCCCGACCAAGAGCGCCGGCGACCCUGCGCGCCGCCAUCCCCGCGCCUCCUUCCUCCUCCUGGCACGUGCCCUGCCGUCCCCGCGCCUCCUUCCUCCUCCUGGCACCCGUGCCGCCGCCCUCGCAACUCCUUCCUCCUCUUAGCACGCGCGCCGCCGCCGCACCUCCUUGCUCCUCCUGCCAUGCGCGCCGCCCCGACCUUCCCUGCCGCACUCUCCUCCCAGGCUCCUGUCGCCGCCCCGCCCACAUCUCCACCAGCUCCGGCCACCGCCGCGCCCCCAUCUCCCCCGGCUCCCACACCGUGCAUCUCGUCCUGGUGGGGCUCCAUAACCGGAGUACCGGACCACCCCAGGCCAUUCAACGCCACCAACCCGGUCCGUUCAUUGCAGCAACACCCAGGAUCUGGCUACCACCAUGUCGUUCCCACGGCGACGUUCGAUGGAGCACCUCGUCUCUCUCUUGCUGCAGGGAGGCCCAGCUACUGCACUGUGGAGUGAGCUGCAAAAAAAUAUAUGGCAAAUUAGGUAGAGAUUAAACAUCCCCCGGAGCGCAUCAUCGGCGUCCAUGAGCGGGGCUCCCGUGGAUGGCUGGAUCCCGGCGGCGGCGUCGAUAGCGUCUACGAGUGCGAGCACCCCACAUCCGGCGUCGCAGCCUCUUCCUUCUGCAGGUCACCGCCUCCUGCUUCUGCAGGCCAUGCCCCAUUCCCCGAUUCCCGCAGCAGACAGGCCGUUCACCGCUGGCACCAUAGUCCGUUCACCGCCGACAACCGAGGCCGUUCAACGGCGCAACGACGAGGUCUGGCCUUCCCCCUUCCUCUUUACAUGUAUCUUUGUAUUCUGUUUCAGUUCAUCUACUUGUCGAUCAUAAGUUCGAUUUCAUCUGUGUUUCCAUGUUAUUCGUGUAUAGUACAACGGGUAUUUGUAUUCAGUUCAGUUCAUCUACUUGCCGAUUGUAAGUCCAAUUACAUAUGUUUUUCCAUGUUCUUCAUAUAGUAUGAGAAGAUUUGUAGAUGCACAGAGUUUGUAGACUGCCAUGUUAAACAAUGUCAACAGGUUGGACAGACUCCCUCUUUUGUGCAUAGAGGUACCUCUUUUGUCAAUUAAUUUAAGGUGCUUUGCUAUUACAAUUUUUGUGCACAGGCAACAAGCAGAAAGGGAAAAAGAAGAGCAUGAUUGACAUCAGUAGUCAAAAAUAAUAGAACAUCAGUUCUAAAAUUCCCCGCGCAUCAGUACACCUAUGUAUUGCUUCUGCGAUUUUCAAAUAUGGUUACAGUUGUUGCUUCGAUUUUGCUGUUGAUGUACAUAGUUUGUGAAGAGAAGAUUUUAUAAUUCAUAUUGCCGAUGGAAUGAAUUACUAAAAGUUCAAAGUUGCUAAUUUCUGCAGUUCUGGUUCUCUAGAUUGGUCUUGGUACAGGAUACAUCUUAAGCUUGGUCUUCGUACAGGAUACAUCUUAAGCUGGAGUUCGUGGCUAAGCAGGUUUGACUAUGUGCUCGCGGCCCCCAUCUCUGAUCGGAUCCAUCCUGGCUCCCCUGGUAGCCAACACGGCUUAUGCGCUGGUGCUAGUGUGGAUGGGCAGCAAGUUCAACUGGCCCCCGCUGGACCCGAGCGCGGCCGCCCCUCCGACUAUGCCGAGUUCGUCAGUCCAUCAGUUCGCCAGUGGGAACCGCAGGUCAGGACCCCAUCUUCCACCUCGCCUACUCUCUACUACAAGAGCAGCACAGGGAGGAGCCAUGCACUUUUUCUGUAGAAUUUUGUAUAAUCUAGUUCGUAUUUGGUCUACUUGUGUAAUUCCAUCAGUGAAUAACGAUUAUGUACUGAUGCUAGAAAUGUAGGUCAUUUGUGAAUCAUGCUUGUUUCAGCGGGGAACAGAUCCAUGGCCAACGGACAAGUUGUAAGCACAUAGCAGUUCAAAAACUAAUUUGAUGUGUGAUAGUGUACAUGAUUCGCCCCCCCCCCCCCUGCGGUUUUGGAUUGUGUUGAUUGUUCAGUUCCACAACAUGCUCAGUAGCAGGUUGUUAUGCUUGUGAAGGUUCAAUAUUUUUCAGAUUUCUCUUUGGUGUGUGAGGACUAAAAGAAUGCAUUCUUUUUAGUUUUUUCCUAUAUUUGUUUGCAGAGAAAAUGAGAAAACUAGACUAAUGUUCAAGGUUAUUGACCUUCUGACUUUAGAUUCUGAACAUCUUCUGUUACUUGCUACAUACAAGGGGGAAACUGACUCUGAACAUCUUGCGAGGCUCCCUGCUGGAUGUCGGCGCUGGAGGGUAACGGACACCGUCGUCUCCCCGCGCCCAUAGACUUCUCUUCUCUCCUUCAAUGGAAGCUGUGAGGGAGAAUUACUUGCAUCUGAAUUGGCUGAUUGCAUUGUUAAACUCCGGGAUGUUGCACCCAGCACAAAGGCCCUGAAGAUGGAUGGCACGUAAGUUGGUUGGCUUGCUUGUAAGUUGGUUGGUUUGUAAACUCUGUAGAUUUUUUUGCUUACAGAUUGUCGGCAUUAUACUUGUACUAGGGCCGGAGUUCAAGUAUUAAUUCCAGGCAAGUUAAAAAUAUAAACCACGGCAAGUUCUUUGUUCAUUUAGCAAAAUAGGUCAACGAUGUCAAUUCCCUGUUUGUACCAGGGAUGCUGUCUGUGUGCGCGGUGCCACUGUAUUUUGACGAGCGACUCCGUCGUCGGGUAACCAGUCACAACCGUGUGUUCUUGCUAGUGCUCAUACACGCAUGGGUAAAUAUACUAGAUGAUCCUUUGGCUGGAGAGUACUACUUGCUUGAGGCAUUGGUAGCUUGCUAAUUAAACUUUGUUGGACGUAGUUGUAUGGCCCGUCGCUCAAAAACCCGUGUGUAGUCUCAGUGGGCACACUCUGUUGCUAUUGUUUUCUUCACUGUGUGGCUCAUAAUUUGUCAGUGCAGUUUGUAUAUGGGAUCCUCAACCAGGACUGCAAGCAGAGCAGUAGAGCGACAUCCUCGCCGUGUGCAACACGGCUUGUGCCGCUGGUGCUAGUGUGGAUGAGUAACAAGUUCGACUACCAGUCCACACCAAGUUCAGGUAUGUUGCUAGUGCACCAAUGAGUAGCGCACCUUGUAUAUGGGAUCCUGGCAUAACAUUGUUUUAUUUUUAGCAACUACAUUUACAUUGCACAAAGAAAGCUAGAUGUGUUGUAGCUUUAGAAUUUGUGUUAUAUAAUGAAAUAAGUUUAGAGGUUUCCCCCAGCGCGCCGCAGCCGGCCCCCUCUCCCAGCGCACCUCCGCCGCCCCUGCCCCAGGGCGCCGCUGCCGAAACCCUGCCGGGCGCGCCGCCGUCGGCCCCCUGCCCCAGCACGCCACCGCCACGACCUCCCUUCCUCAGUGCGCCUCCGCCUAGCCCCUGCCUCCGCUAGAAACAAAAGUACAAUUCCGCUAAUUCCUGUAGUUCUGUGGUUAGCACAAACUGGUGGUUCAUUUUGCUAAUUCUUGCGGUCUACAAUUUAUUUAUUUUUGCUAAAACUUGUAUUUUUGGUUUGUCAGAAGAUGGUGAACUGUGUGAGUACUUCCCUUGCUCUUUCUGCUACAUCAAGGUCGAAAAAGCCCUUCAUCUGCGGGAGGAACACUGCUUUGACAUCUGCAUCCACCUCCUCCCCAACUCCUGGCGCCGCUCGGCCCCCAACCUCCAACCUCACCGGGUCCUGGCGCCGCUCGGCCCCCAACCUCCAACCUCACCGGGUCCUGGCGCCACCCCGCCCCUACCUCCUCCGUGGAUCACGGCGCCGCACGCCCCCCAUUCUCCUCGGAUCCCAACGAUGCCUAGUCCCCAAUCUCUCCGGCUCCAGGAGCCACCAACUGCCAUCCUCUGCCAGCUCGGGUAGCCGCCUCCACCUGUUUCCUCCCGCGGGGCUGACGGUGCAAAUAUGGCCGACGUGCGGGGCAGUGAGACUCGCCGGGGUGGAGCUCCUCCGCCUCUAGACGUUGAUCCAUAGUUCAUUGUCAGUACAGGUUUUGAAACUGCCCAGUACAUGUUGGGGGACAUUUCUGGAAUCACGUAUCCUUGCUAGCUCGUAGCUGUAAUUUGGUUGCAUAGCAGUACAGUUUAGUUGUCUCUGAAGUUUUGAUUCAUAGCAGUACAAUUUAGUCCCAGCUGCCAUGAUUUUGCAAACCAUUGUGCUCCCAAAAGAUGGUGCUUUGUUGCAACAAGUUCUACGGAAAAUGCAGUGAAAAGAUAAAUUGUGCUCCCACAAGUUCAUCUGAUAUACUGUUGUUAAUUCAAUUUCUUUUAUAUACCUCUACACAUGUUUGUUGAAAUGCUCCCACAAGGAGCUAGACUUGUUUUUUGUUCAUAGUUCUCAUUUCUUAAAACAACUGAUGUACUACUAUCAAAAUGGAUGCUACGAUAAAGAUCACAUCUCUAAAUUGAUGAUUCAGCCAUGUUUGCUUUUGUGUACUACUGAACUGACAAUGUUACUGAACUUGUGUUCUCGCUGAUUCUGAACUGUUGCUGGUAACAUUUGUGAUGCUCAUCUACUUUUGGUUGGAAGUUUAAUGAAUCCAUACAUAGUUCAAAUUUUAGGAAGUUAAAAGUUCAACGAGUGUCUUAGAGAAAACUUGGAAGUGUUGUCUAUAUAAAAAAGACAACAAAAAUAUGUGUUCUGCAUUCAAAAGACAGAAACCUAAGAUGUUCAGGAAAGAGUUCCAGAACAUCCCCGGUCGCCGCAUCCCUAGGAAGCCAUGCGACAGCCACCACCACUGCGAGCCACCGGUGCAGCGUCCAACCAGCCCCAUGCGCCUCCAUCCCUCGAGCUCCCAGAUGCGUUGUCGCAGACCCUUUGUUCCCCAUCGCUGCCUCCUCCAACUCCUUUCAUGGCUCUGGAAAAUCACUGAUCAGGUAUGUUCAGUUCAGACCACACUAAAAUGGCUGAAUUAUAGAUAAAUAUUUGCAUUGUCCUAAAUUCUUCCACUCUCUGGAAACAAAGUCGCAGAAUGGAUGUGAACAGAGUAUAUUCCCAUGGUUUUGCAAGAAAUCAUACAAUAAGUGUACUGUUCACUAUGUAUUUUAUCAUCAGUCAUAGAAAAAGUUCAAUUUGUGUUAUUGAAACAACUCAAUUUAUCGGUUUUAUAUAAUAUUACAAGUGAUUCAUAGGGAUGUUGCAACAGUGCGACUCUGAGAGUUAGUAAGUUUGACAAAAAAACAACAUAGGGCAUGUCAGUUCGUGCGGAGAAUACCAGUCUUUAAGUUUGUGAGUUUGUCAGUUCGCCGAUGGGAUCCGCAGGUCAGCCCCUCAUCUUCCACAAUUACUCUUUAUUCUUUUAUGAGUAUUAAUUCAACUACUGACUAAAAUGUGUAGCUUGGACUGAAGUUUUAAAGAUCUGAUUUACUGCUUACCUGUCGCAGCCACCAGGCCAUUUAUAGCCGCCACCCUAGUCAUUUGAUCACUGCCAACCGAGUUUGUUCGACGAUGGAGUGUUGAGGCCGUUCAAAGACGCAAUGCCUCCAAUUUUUUGAUCUGGGGGACUGAACGAGUGCAAUUCGUCGAGGCAUUUGAUGUUCUGACCGCUUAAUAUACAUGGUUGGCAAGAUGACUAAUAUUUAUGUUCUCAAUAUAUGAGAGAGUGGGAUGUUCGUAUGACUGUGGCUGGUUGGAGUGUAUGGUCUUGUGGAGAUCAUGAAUCUUAUUUGCUUAUGACACAAUGUAUAUAUAUACUGCUAGAAGUUCUAGUACCUAUAUUGCUACCAUUCGCAAAUAAAAAAUGUAUCAGUUCAUUAUGUGUAGCACAUGUUUAACACAUAUAAUUACAAAAUAGUUACUUCAACUAUAUAAGAGUUCAGCUUUUACUUGAUUUUCAGUUCAAAUUUUGCGUUAUUUUUAGUAUAUCAACUUUAAUGUGCAGAACAUCGAGGAAAAUCCUGAAAAAAUUGUAUGUGCACUCUAUGUAUUUUCUUAUGUUUACAAGAAUU